rnacentral:lncRNA from 1 species
AAAAAUCUAGUGCUAUUAUCAAUCUUUUAAUCUCAUUUUUUGCUCUAAAAAAUUGAACCUUUUUUUUUUGAGUAGUCCGUCCGGAGCACAAAAACCCAGUUCUCUGCCUCAUAAAUAUGUGCAAGUAGGCGUUUGCUCGUGUUGGAUGUAAGUGAUCACAUAUGUUGCUCGACCAAUAUAGCGUGGUCCUUACAUUCAAGGCGAGUAAACGACUAGUUGGCAGUGCAUUUGAUUCAACUAUUCACGUUGGCCUAGCUGUUUCAGAUAUGAGCAAAUACAUUUGCAUCACCUUUCAAUGUAAUGUGACGCAUAUACUCAGUUAUAUAAUGUUGGUUCAUCUUUAAUUCAGGUUUCUAAGUAGCUUUUGUUUGACCUUUCUGUCAAAAAAAAAAAAAUUGAAGUCUUGUUCUAGUAUUUGGGAAAAUAAUUGUGCAUAUUUGAAUUUGAAAUUGGUAAGGGAAAUGUACGCUGUAAACUAGUUUUAAAUAACUAACUACUAAUACAUGGUAUAACACCACUUUCAAAAAUAUAAAUCCCUACCAUUUUUCAUAAAAGCAUACCAAUUUAAGUUUUAACUACAUAAUUUAACACUUGUAAAAAACUUUGUAGUAUUUACACCAUCCAUGUAAUUAGUAAGUAAUAAAAUCAAAACGUAUUCAACAAAUUGUUGGCUACAAAAGUUCACAGCAUCUCCAUAAUGGUGGAAGCGAAGGAAAAUGUACAUGAAUAUGUGUGCUAGGCCUUAGUCCUUUUCUCACUCUAUGUGAUUCAUUCCAAAAUUUUGGAGUCUAAUCAAAUUAUUUACGAGCAUUUCUUUUUUCAAUUUAAUCAUUUGAGUUCAAUGGUUGUGGAAUGGAGACUUGGUAUAAUCUUUAAGAAUGACAAGUUGUGUGUAAUUAAUGUUAUGUUUAGGAGGCAAAGACAGGUAUUCAUAGUAUCAUUAGUAUCUAUUAGGAUACUAGUUAUUACUCCUAUUAUUUAUUAACAGACACAAUUUGAAUAGACUUAGGUUAUUAUUGGACUAAUUCCUGUGAACUUGUGGUCCGGCCCUUCCCUGGAUUCGCGCAUAGCGGGAGCUUAGUGCACCGGACUGUCCUUUUUCCUAUGAAAUUGUCAUAUAAGAAGAGCUUAUAAGCUCAUAAUCAUUAGAGUUACCUUGUUAGGUUUGCUUGUUAGAGUUGUCUUAAUGAUUAUAUCCUAUUAGAGUUUUAAGUUACACUUAACAGUGUAGAAAUUUUUCACACUAUCAUGUUAAAUUAACCUAAAAUAACAGAUAAAUCUUAAUAACAAACAUGACAUGGUAAACUGAACAAUAUAAUAAUAACCUGCCAUUGCAAUUACAUUGAAUUGAUAGUGUAAAAGUGUUAGAUGGCAGUAUAAGAAUCCUAGAGCUAAACAAAUUCAUGAAUGAGGGAAAAUCUGUUCAGCUAGCAAAGGCUGCAAGUAAAGGUGAAUGAAAAUAAAAAAAAAGGGCACCCCGGUGCACUAAGCUUCCACUACGUGUGGGAUCCGGGGAAGGGCCGCACCACACAGGUCUAUUAUACGCGGCCUUACCCUACAUUUCUGCAAGAGGCUGUUUACAUAGCUCGAACCCGUGACCUCCUGGUCAUAUGGCAGCAACUUUACCAGUUACCUGUUUUUCAGAACAAAAAGAAGAAGAGAGACCGAGUCAAAAACAUUGGAACAUUACAUGCAAAACUCUAUUUUGCUUGCACAGUCCCAUAUAAACAGUUUUCCUAGUUCUUAUACUCAGUUUUCAAGGAUGGCUAUUAGUUUGAGUUUCAAAAUUUGCUGCAUAAUCAGAUUUUUCAGUGUCUGCAUCUUCUGGCUGUGGUUCGCAUUGUGAAGCUAACACAACUUCAUCACUAGGAUCAGUUGCUUGCUUCCUUUCAUGUGAUGAUUCUUGAUUUCCUACAGCCUUAACUUCAGUUCCAAUAUGAGUACUUUGUUGUAGUUCCUUGAUAUUUGUAAAACUUUGCUUUUCCAUCAUAAAGUCCGUCGAUUUACUGAUUGAUUCUUGAGGCAAAACUUGAUUGUCUUCAGUAACCAGAACUUGAUUGGGAUCAGGAUUUGGUUCCUCUUGUGCAGAUUCAACAGCUUGAGGCAUGUCAUCAACAAAAUGUAGUUCAAAAGAUGAACUUUUCACUUCAUUGUAAAUUGGAUCACUUAGUUGGACUUUACUUUCUGCUGCUAGUGAU